rnacentral:snRNA from 14 species
AGGACCACUUGGAAAGGGAGAUAAGAGCCAUGAAGGCAGCUUUCCUGUGGUGAGACCUAUUCAGUGCACCCUGCUUGUGCAGACCCGGGCAGUUCACAAAUGUGGGAAACUUCACUGCAUGAUUUGUGAAGGUAAUGGAGAUGUGCAUUUAUUCAGGCUUCUC